ACCUGGCUGGCUCAAUUGUUACAGCACGUGACUCUUGAUCUCAAAGUUGUGAGUUCAAGCCCCAUGUUGGGUG
rnacentral:tRNA from 1 species